rnacentral:rRNA from 1 species
CGCGGCCUAUCAGCUUGUUGGUGGGGUGAUGGCCUACCAAGGCGACGACGGGUAGCCGGCCUGAGAGGGCGACCGGCCACACUGGGACUGAGACACGGCCAGACUCCUACGGGAGGCAGCAGUGGGGAAUAUUGCGCAAUGGGCGAAAGCCUGACGCAGCGACGCCGCGUGGGGGAUGACGGCCCUCGGGUUGUAAACCUCUUUCGCCAUCGACGAAGCCUUUGGGUGACGGUAGGUGGAGAAGAAGCACCGGCCAACUACGUGCCAGCAGCCGCGGUAAUACGUAGGGUGCGAGCGUUGUCCGGAAUUAUUGGGCGUAAAGAGCUCGUAGGCGGUGUGUCGCGUCGGUCGUGAAAACUUGGGGCUUAACUCUGAGCUUGCGGUCGAUACGGGCAUCACUUGAGUUCGGCAGGGGAGACUGGAAUUCCUGGUGUAGCGGUGAAAUGCGCAGAUAUCAGGAGGAACACCGGUGGCGAAGGCGGGUCUCUGGGCCGAUACUGACGCUGAGGAGCGAAAGCGUGGGGAGCGGACAGGAUUAGAUACCCUGGUAGUCCACGCCGUACACGGUGGGCGCUAGGUGUGGGGGCCAUUCCACGGUCUCUGUGCCGCGGCUAACGCAUUAAGCUCCCCGCCUGCGGAGUACGG